rnacentral:rRNA from 1 species
UACGAGGGGGGCGAGCGUUGUUCGGAAUUAUUGGGCGUAAAGGGUGCGUAGGCGGCUUUUUAAGUUUGGUGUGAAGUCUCCCGGCUCAACUGGGAGGGUGCGCCGAAUACUGAGAGGCUAGAGUGUGGGAGAGGAAAGUGGAAUUCCUGGUGUAGCGGUGAAAUGCGUAGAUAUCAGGAGGAACACCGGUGGUGUAAACGGCUUUCUGGACCAUAACUGACGCUGAGGCACGAAAAGCGUGGGUAGCAAACAGG